rnacentral:lncRNA from 10 species
UUUUUCUUCACUGAGGUCUUAUAGAUAAGAUUUUCUCUUUAUAAACUUUGCAUUUUGUAAAAUAUAUUAUUUGUCUAUGAGCACAGAAAAAAUUCAUCCAGAUAAUCCAAGACCAAGGAUAUUUCUUAGAUUAAUGUCUUUUUCCAUAUGAGCAUCAGCAGAUGAGAAUAAGACUCAAUGUACAUAAAUACCACAUGUCUGUAGAAAGGCAUUUCCUGAACUAGAGACCCAAAGGACACACUUUCCAGGAUAUUAAUGUCACAGAAAAUGUUUGGUGCACCAUUAAGUCACAUUUACUGUAAUAGAAGCUCCAUGAGAAGAGGGACUUUGUCUUUUUUUACCACUGCAGCUCCAGCAUCUAAAACAGGUCCUGACACAUAGUAGGCACUCAAAAUAUUUAUUAUUAAAUGAAAUGUUGCCUUAAACUAGUUUAACCAGGUUUCUUUACUGCAGGACUUUCCAGAGGCUUAUCAUGCUAAUAUAUGUAGUGAAGCUCCAAGAGGAGGUGCUGGCAUAACUUAUUUCUCAAACCUAUUUGAACAUGGGUCACCCCAGGACAUAUCUAUUCACACCUAGUGGCACUGUGUUCCAUAGAAGUUUGGGAAAUGCUGAGUUAAAUUAAAAGGACAGGUAAAAAUAUCUAAGGCAAAAGGGAGUACAGGUAGUUAAUCCACAAUUUAGGUUCUGUUACAACUUUUUGCUGACUUACAUUCUUUGAUCUUUGAAUACAGGAAAAAUGAAGAAGAGGAUGGAGGAGAGAGCAUGGGUGGGAGGAGAGAGAGGAAAAACAGAAAGGAAAGACAAAGAGAGAGACAGAGAGAAAUGACCAUUUGAGAUGGAAGAAGUGGUACUCUGAAUUGCAGGAAAAAAUUCAGAUUGUGCUGGGCUUUACUGGCAGAUGAUUGGCAGCUGGAAGCUUCUCGUGGAACCUAGUGAUGAUAAUUGCCCACAGGCUGGAUUUAUCUUGUAAAGACUUGCUUGAAGCCUUAUCUGCUCAAUUGGCUGUGACCAGGAAAGAGGACACUGAUGGUUAGAUCUGUUCUCUUUUUUCAAUAUGGGUUCAUCCACCCAUCCUUUCUACCCUGGGACACACAUUAGUGAAUGGUCUGGAUUCGUUACUACAGAAGAAAUUAGGCACAGAUGAAGAAUAGGUAAUACUGCAGAUUUUGGAGACAAGCCAUUGGGUUGAUGAGAAAACCUCUGAAGCAGGAGCUAUCAUUAUUCCCAUAUUACAGAUGAGGCAACUGAGAGUAUAAAAGAUGAAGAAAUUUACUGGAAAUUGAAUAAUAAGUGGCUGAGCCAGGAUUUGAAAAUAAAUCCACUUAAUGCAGUCUGUUUUCUUCUUCUGGAGAACAUUAGCUUUUUUCUGCCUUUGGACUCAAACUGAAACUUGGACUCUUGCUGGGUCUCAAGCCUGCUGACUAUGAACUGGAACUUACACCAUUGACUCUCCUGGGUCUCCAGUUUGCUGACUUGUUCUGCAGAUCUUGAGACUUGUCAACCUCUGUAAUCAGCAUCAUCAAGGAAGCCCUGGAACAGGAGGCAAGAAGCAUUCAGAGAAGCAUGCAAUACAAGAAUGAGGUUCACCAUGAGGUACAGCCUUGUACCACCCCCCAGUGUCUCCUUGAAUUUGCUGGCCUUGCGUCUGAGCUCAGUCUGGGAUUCUGAUGACACCAGUUGCCCAGCAUGGCUUCCAUUAACGGUGGAGGAAAUAGGAGUUUCUCUUUGGAGAAGAGAACUGAGUGGAACAUUCACUCUGCGUCUUUUUCCCCUGGGUUUGCCAGUUGUGAUUGAUGAAGUCAGCUUUCAAUAAAACCUGUAACUGAACGGACAAAUAUCUAAAAAUAAGUUCAAAGAGAAAUAGAGAGAAGAAAAGGCUUUGACCAUAAAUCAUUCAUAGGAUUCCUCACAUGAGCAGAAUAGAAACAAGACUGCCACAUUCUCAGAAUCACAGACCGCCACAGCCAUAGACGAGAGCUCCUCUCUGGACUUGGAGAGGAAGGCCCGGCUGGGUGCGUAGGUCUCCUGACUCCCAGGUUGGAAUCUUGGCUUGUAUCCGCUGUACUGGCUCUACCACCCUGGAGACUAUCAGCCUUACAUGUACCACUUUUAUUUUCUCAAGCUGUUUCCCUCUCUGUAAAUCGAGCAUUGAUCUCCCUGCAUUAUUUGAAAAAUUAUUGAAAACACUGAAAACAUAAAUGGAAAUGUGCCUGUGAGAAAGUGGCACCAGCACUUCAUAGAUUGACAGCAGAUGUGUGUUGAAUCUAGAUAAAGUAUACUUUUCUAUUUUUGGCAGUGGAGGGGAUUAUCUGACAUUUUGAAUUACAGUACCCCCCACCCCAAGCCCGCCCAACCCUGCUUAUCUAUGGGUUUGCUCUAUCACAGGUUUUAGUUAUCCGUGGUACAGUACAGUAAGGUAUUUUAAGAGAGACCACAUUCAUGUAACUUUAUUACAGUAUAUGGUUAGAAUUGUUCUAUUUUAUUAUUAGUUAUUGCUGUUAAUCUCCUACUGUGCCUAAUUUAUAAAUUAAACUUUAUCAUAGCCAUGUAUGUAUAGGGAAAAGAAACAUAGUAUAUGUUUCUUUGGUAGUAUUCAAGGUUUCAGCCAUCCCCCGGGGGUCUUGGAACGUACCUCCCUUGGAUAAGGGGAGUGACUAUCUCUCCUCUCUAUUAAAUUUAUCUUCAUUUCCUUUUUUUUUUUUUUUGAGACAGAGUCUUGCUCUGUCUCCCAGGCUGGAGUGCAGUGGCAUGAUCUUGGCUCACUGCAGCCUCCGCCUCCUGGGUUCAAGUGAUUCUCCUGCCUCAGCCUCCUGAUUAGCUGGGAUUACCGGCACGUACCACCAUGCCUGGCUGAUUUUUGUAUUUUUAGUAGACACGGGGUUUCACCAUGUUGGCCAGGAUGGUCUCCAAUUCCUGACCUCAUGACCUGCCCACCUUGGCCUCCCAAAAUGCCAGGGAUUACAGGUGUGAGCCACUGUACCCGGCCAUUUUCCUAAUUGGAUUUGAAGCACUCACAGGUGCUUAGAACACUUGUAGAUUGUUUUGAGUCCACUGGGUUAUUGACUCUUUUUUGUUCAGUGCCCACAGCUGACCUUAUGUGUGUUAUGGCCUGUAUAUCUUUUAAG